GAUGAACGCUGGCGGCGUGCCUAAUACAUGCAAGUCGAGCGAACAGACGAGGAGCUUGCUCCUCUGACGUUAGCGGCGGACGGGUGAGUAACACGUGGAUAACCUACCUAUAAGACUGGGAUAACUUCGGGAAACCGGAGCUAAUACCGGAUAAUAUAUUGAACCGCAUGGUUCAAUAGUGAAAGACGGUUUUGCUGUCACUUAUAGAUGGAUCCGCGCCGCAUUAGCUAGUUGGUAAGGUAACGGCUUACCAAGGCAACGAUGCGUAGCCGACCUGAGAGGGUGAUCGGCCACACUGGAACUGAGACACGGUCCAGACUCCUACGGGAGGCAGCAGUAGGGAAUCUUCCACAAUGGGCGAAAGCCUGACGGAGCAACGCCGCGUGAGUGAUGAAGGUCUUCGGAUCGUAAAACUCUGUUAUUAGGGAAGAACAAAUGUGUAAGAAACUAUGCACGUCUUGACGGUACCUAAUCAGAAAGCAACGGCUAACUACGUG
rnacentral:rRNA from 1 species